rnacentral:rRNA from 1 species
CAGUAGCCGCGGGAAUACGAGGGGGGCAAGCGUUGUUCGGAAUUAUUGGGCAUAAAGGGCGCGUAGGCGGUUUGGCAAGUUUGGUGUGAAAUCUUCGGGCUCAACUCGAAGUCUGCACCGAAAACUGCCGGGCUUGAGUAUGGGAGAGGUGAGUGGAAUUUCCGGUGUAGCGGUGAAAUGCGUAGACAUCGGAAGGAACACCUGUGGCGAAAGCGGCUCACUGGACCAUUACUGACGCUGAGGCGCGAAAGCUAGGGGAGCAAACAGGAUUAGAUACCCCCGUAGUCCCUGUCUCUUAUAC